rnacentral:rRNA from 1 species
UACGGAGGGGGCUAGCGUUGUUCGGAAUUACUGGGCGUAAAGCGCACGUAGGCGGACCAGAAAGUUGGGGGUGAAAUCCCGGGGCUCAACCCCGGAACUGCCUUCAAAACUAUUGGUCUGGAGUUCGAGAGAGGUGAGUGGAAUUCCGAGUGUAGAGGUGAAAUUCGUAGAUAUUCGGAGGAACACCAGUGGCGAAGGCGGCUCACUGGCUCGAUACUGACGCUGAGGUGCGAAAGCGUGGGGAGCAAACAGGAUUAGAUACC